rnacentral:lncRNA from 1 species
GGAUCAGAAAACGGAAGGUGUAUUAUCAGGGAAGAUUGAUGAAUGGAUGAAUGAAUCAGUGGUGGAUAUUGUGAAGAACUUGAAACAAGCGCCGUUGUUGGUUCAGAUAUACUCUGACGAUGGAAAAGGACAAGUGAAGAUCAAGACGGAGAGAGCGGUGGAGGAAGAUUGGCCGAUGAAGAAAAGUGAAUGGGAGAAGAGAUCACCAGAUGGGCUUAUCUUCGUUGGAGAACUUGGAAGUGAGGAUGAGAAACUUGUAGAGGAAGAAGGAGAAGGAAUAACAAAGGCAUGGGGAGUAGUUGUACAGGGGAAAGGGAUGG